GAGAACAACUUAAUGGGCCUUAAUGGCCUUUAGUUGAAGCCUAAGAAUUCUCCUACCUCCCCUCCUCGGUGCUGCUGAGCUGCUGAGCAAACCUGCUGCAGACCCAUGAAGGGUGUAUUUUUUUUUCUGGUCACUCAAAGAGAGGCGGUCCAGUUUUAGGAUUGAAUUGGAGGCACAAGUUGGUGACCAUUGCACCCUUCAGUGAUCUUCGGUGAUGUGCAGAGAUAAUGGGUUACAACGACAGACAUUAAUAAGUCUGUUGCAAAGGAAGGGUGAGAUGGAGAAGAGGAAGAUGUGAAAACAGACUUGAGCAGAGUCAGUUAUGAGGGAAGAUGGAGGCCACGGAGCACCAGUCCACGGAGCUGCUUCUUGCCACCCUCACUAAAGUAAUGUUAUCAUUCCAAACAUACAGAGCCACCAUCCCCAAGGACAGAUGCUUUCUAUUUGAGGAUCACCAGCUCUGCAUGUUGAUUUUCGAAGAGAUAAAAAGAGCAUCUGGCCACCGCAGCACAGGCUCACGUCCCCUCCCUCUUCAUUAUGCGCGGAGCAGAUGAGAUUUUUGCUUCAUUCCUACUUCUACAAAUAAAGACAGCA